rnacentral:rRNA from 1 species
GCCCAAACUCUAGUCCUUCCUUUUUUUCACGACACAGACAAAACAAAACAUUUGACGCGGCCAGUAAAGGAGAUUAAAAACAAAACAGGCACUAUAGAAGCAGUACCGAAAGGGAAAGAAGUAAAGCAACAAAAAGCAAAGAUAAAACCUUGUACCUUUCGCAUCAUGGUUUAGCAAGACACGCUGAGCACGGCGCCCCAGCUCAAAUCCCCGAAACCAAGUGAGCUACCCCCCAACAGGAAACAAACCCGUCUCUGUAGCAAAAGAGUGGGAAGAUUGAGGGGUAGCGGUGAAAAGCCUAUCGAACUUGGCAAUAGCUGGUUGCCCGAAAUUGAACCUAAGUUCUACCUUGAACCCACCCCCACCACACCAGGAAAAUCAAGGAGACUCAUUAGAGGUACAGCCCUAAUGAAUGGGGACACAACCCCUGCCUGAGAGUAAGCCAUAUGGACCCCCCCCCCCGUGGGCUUUAAAGCAGCCACCAAUAAAAACAGCGUCAAAGCGCCCGACCACUAAUUCAGGACUCACCCACCACCUCCAGCAAGAAUCAGGGCAACUCUACCCCCGUAGAAAAACCAAUGCUAAAACUACUAAUAAGGAACCCCCUCUAAGCACACCCAUCAGUUGAAACGGACCAACCCACCAACAGUUAUCAACCACCCAAAGCGAACCCAACCCACAAACCUUUUACUAACUGUGAUACCGACACCGGAGUGCCCAAAAGAAAGAUAAAAAGCCACAGAAGGAACUCGGCAAACACUGACCCCAACUGUUUACCAAAAACAUAACCUUUAGCCCACCAAGUAUUAAAGGCAUCGCCUGCCCGGUGAGAAAUUUUCUUUAACGGCCGCGGUACCCUAACCGUGCGAAGGUAGCAUAAUCACUUGCCUAUUAAUCAUAGGCUGGCAUGAAAGGCUGCAUGAGGGUCAAACUGUCUCCUGUGGCCCAUCAAUGAAACUGAUCUUGCAGUCAAAAAGCUGUAAUACCCACAUAAGACGAGAAGACCCUGUGAAACUUCCAACGACCUUUUUCCCCAGGAAAAAGUACUUUUAGUUGGGGCAACUUUGGAAAAAACCCAACUUCCAAACACCUGAACACACCCACUGCCACUAGGCCAACAAGCCUUAUUUAUCGACCCAGUUCACCUGAUUAAUGAACCAAGCUACUCCAGGGAUAACAGCGCCAUCUUCUUCAAGAGCCCAUAUCAAAAAGAAGGUUUACGACCUCGAUGUUGGAUCAGGGCACCCCAGUGGCGCAGCCACUACCAAAGGUUCGUUUGUUCAACGAUUAAUAGC